CAUGUACUCCCUCCGUCCGGAAAUACUUGUCAUCAAAAUGAAUAAAAGGGGAUGUAUUUAGAUGUAUUUUAGUUUUAGAUACAUCCUUUUUUGUCCAUUUUGAUGACAAGUAUUUUCAGACGGAGGGAGUACGUG
rnacentral:pre_miRNA from 1 species